rnacentral:rRNA from 1 species
AGCUCAAAUUUUGAAUCUGGCAGUCAUUCAUUAGGCUGUCCGAAUUGUAAUCUAGAGAAGCGUCUUCCGCGCUGGACCGUGUACAAGUCUCCUGGAAGGGAGCGUCAUAGAGGGUGAGAAUCCCGUCUUUGACACGGACUACCAGUGCUUAUGUGUUGCGCUCUCGACGAGUCGAGUUGUUUGGGAAUGCAGCUCAAAAUGGGUGGUAAAUUCCAUCUAAAGCUAAAUACAGGCGAGAGACCGAUAGCGAACAAGUACCGUGAGGGAAAGACGAAAAGAACUUUGAAAAGAGAGUUAAAUAGUACGUGAAAUUGCUGAAAGGGAAACACUUGAUGUCAGUCGCAUCGAUUAGGGGUCAGCCUUGCUUGAUCGCUCGGUGUAAUUCCUAGUGGAUGGGUCAGCGUCAGUUUGGAUCGCUGUACAUAGGCUUGGGGAAAGUAGCACUCUUUAGGGAGUGUGUUAUAGACUCUGGUCGGAUGCAGUGGUCGGGACUGAGGAGCUCUGCACGAACUCUGAUUUUGUGCAAGGGAUGCUGGCAUAAUGGCCUUAAGUGACCCGUCUUGAAACACGGACCAAGGAGUCUAACAUGCCUGCGAGUGUUUGGGUUUCGAAACUCGAGCGCGCAAUGAAAGUGAAAAGUUGGGACCUCUGUCAUGGAGGGCAC